AUUUAUAGGCGACAUUUUUGCUAAAAUUAAGUGUAGUAUUUAUUCUUAUCAGUUUAAUAUCUGAUAUAAAGAAUUAAAUUAAUUUUGUAUGAAGGAGAGUCUAUUAUUCACACGUGUUCAUGUAUUAUAUUAUACAUGCAACCAAGGACGGAGCUACGUAUAUAGCUUUGGUGGGAGAGAUGCCCCAUCU